rnacentral:lncRNA from 1 species
CAGUCUUGAAAGAUGGGAAGAUCAGGAGCAGUCUGGAGUCAUGGUAUAUGAAUGAACUAGUGAGAGUGGGCACAAAGUCUGAAGAUCUUUGUAGUGCAGCUAAUGUCUAAGGGAGAAUAUACCUACCCUAGAAGAGACAUUAAACAACCAAUUCAACCAAUCUACAAAGGCCAAAAAUAUUUUCACAGGCCCCCAAAAGAUGAACUCCAAUCUGCUGCCCCUAAACGCAUUCUCCACUGUCUGGAAGAUGUGCAAAGGCAACGGCACAGCGUUCUCCAUCUCAAAUCCUUCAAAGUGCUGUCAGAAUAAAAGAAUCCCCACCAAAAGCCCCAGGGAAAUCUAUCUGUCUGUAUGGUAUGGUAAUGACUGAGGUUAUUCCAGAUAGGAUUCUGGGAGAAACUCAGCUAUUGAAAUCUAAUGAAUGGAACUGAGAAUUUCUUGUUAUAAUACUGUUUGUUUGAUUGAAUAUAUCCUUGCAUAUAGGAAGACAUAAAAUAAAUAAUAAAAGCAA